rnacentral:rRNA from 1 species
GUGAGGAAUAUUGGUCAAUGGGCGAAAGCCUGAACCAGCCAUGUCGCGUGAAGGAUGAAGGUCCUAUGGAUUGUAAACUUCUUUUGCAGGAGGGUAAAGUGAGCUACGUGUAGUUCAUUGCAAGUACCCUGCGAAUAAGCAUCGGCUAACUCCGUGCCAGCAGCCGCGGUAAUACGGAGGAUGCGAGCGUUAUCCGGAUUUAUUGGGUUUAACGGGUGCGUAGGCGGACUAAUUAGUCAGCGGUGAAAUUUUGCGGCUCAACCGUAAAACUGCCGUUGAAACGGUUAGUCUUGAGUGCGGUAGAGGUAGGCGGAAUGUGUGGUGUAGCGGUGAAAUGCUUAGAUAUCACACAGAACACCGAUUGCGUAGGCAGCUUACUGGAGCGCAACUGACGCUGAGGCACGAAAGCGUGGGGAUCGAACAGGAUUAGAAACCCGUGUAGUCC